rnacentral:rRNA from 1 species
AUUGAACGCUAGCGGGAUGCCUUACACAUGCAAGUCGAACGGCAGCACGGACUUCGGUCUGGUGGCGAGUGGCGAACGGGUGAGUAAUGUAUCGGAACGUGCCCAGUAGCGGGGGAUAACUACUCGAAAGAGUAGCUAAUACCGCAUACGCCCUACGGGGGAAAGGGGGGGAUCGCAAGACCUCUCACUAUUGGAGCGGCCGAUAUCGGAUUAGCUAGUUGGUGGGGUAAAGGCCCACCAAGGCGACGAUCCGUAGCUGGUUUGAGAGGACGACGGGCCACGCUGGGACUGAGACACGGCCCAGACUCCUACGGGAGGCAGCAGUGGGGAAUGUUGGAAAAUGGGGGCAACCCGGGUCCGGCCAUCCGGCGUGGGCGAUGAAGACCGUCGGGUUGUAAAGCACUUUUGGCAGGAAAGAAAUCGCACGGGCUAAUACCUCGUGUGGAUGACGGUACCUGCAGAAUAAGCACCGGCUAACUACGUGCCAGCCGCCGCAGUAA